CCGGCGGGACCGAUCCCCCGGCGGUUUAUUAGCUCCUGCAUGGGUGGCAGGGAAGGAGGAAAGGCUGUCUUCUUCCCUCUUGGGACCAGUUGUUCAGCCAACACAGCCUUUAUAAAAAGUCUUGUUUCUCCUACAGUAGAGUUCACCUGGGUAAGAACCUUGACAGUAUUCUAAGUGAGGUAAAUUAACUCAUUCUCUUUCCCUUUCUCUCCAAGCAACGAUCAGCAUUGUAUUUAAAUAGGCCCUAGUUAUAUUUUCUCUUGCAAAACAGUAUUUUAAUGACAGGUGCCCUUUGUGACAGAUGUUGGACCAAAUGGCUAAAUUUGAUACAGAUUCAUGCGAUAAUGCAGUUGACAACACCAGGCAAACGUGUUCUUACUUAUCUUAAAUUAAAUACUUAAAAGGCUAUUCCUGAAGGAAUACACUAGCAUCAAAAAGAAAUCCUGAAGCACUGUUGAAAUUGCUCAAAUCCCAAGGCAUCUUUUAAAUUCAUAUUGAGCAGCGAAACGAUAAAAAAAUUAUAUGCUUGGGAAAGAAAAAAUCCACUAUUCAUUUCCUCAUCACAGAUCUUCUGGAUUUAAGAUCGGGCUACAGACAAUAUCUCUGAAGGAAAGCAGGGAAAAAGGAAGCAGAGCAUGGUGAAGGAUUUCUGAAUUCUCCCAGUUCAGUCCUACAGGGAGCAUUCUGAUUUAGCAAUGUUUGGCUGGCAGACGCAGAAAGAAUAAAAUAAGUAACUUGCAGGUAACAGCUCACCCAAAUAAGAUCGUUUCAGGUCGUUUUCAAAUAGGAACAGUGCCACCACAAAUUAAAUAUUUUUGCUGGGCCUCACCCUUCUUUCAUAACAAGCACCAGGUAAAGACCAGUACUGAAGAAAUACCUACAAUUAUGUCAUCCCCUGUCCUGACCCCUGGGUACCUCUGUGUAAUCUUGUGUACCACAUUAGAUUCAAAAGCCAAAGUAAACUUGGGGUGGAAGCAAUAACUGCAAUGGAUUCUGUACGUCAUCAAAAAUAUUACCCAUUAUGAAAAGCAACAAGUGGUAAGAUAGAAAAUUAUACAAAAUGAAUUUUUCUAUAGGUUGGUCUUUGACUAAGAUCAAGGAUAUGCAUUAUAAGCUGAUUUCCUUAAGAAAAUUGGCACUAAUAAUAUUUUUUUUAGCUUUUAAGGUGAAAAUGUGUAGAAAUGGGAAAAAGUAUUAUUAAUGGUGACCACUAAAAGCCUUACUAGUCUUUCAGUGUAAGAGAUACUGUAUCAGGGUAAUAAAAAAUUCUAAUGGAUCUUCCUUGCUACUGCAAGAGGAAAUAAAGGUGUCACAAAUCUUCGUUUGCAGUUUUCUACAGUUUUUUCUCCAUGGCAAUGAGCUACAUUUUAUAUCAUUUUUUAAGAACUAUUAAGCGCAUCAUGAUAUUUACAAAUAACAUUCACCAAGGAACUCAGCAGGAGGAAACAUACUGAAUGUGUAACGCUUACCAAAACAACAGAAUAAACUAUUUAAUUAAAAAAACCAACCCAUGCAAACCAACAAACAGACACCCCCUCCUCAAUUUUCCCGAGCAGUUUUACUCAAACUAGGACAGGAGGAGUCAAAGUGCUUAUUGGUGUGCAAUUUCUGUAAGCACACAAAUCAGAAACUUUAGCUAAAAUCUGUGAUCUUGCUAAAUCAAGCCACUGCUUUAAAAAAUACUGAGAAUUACUCAUUUUACAGCCUUUAUAAACAUUGCUUGAUUUGCCUGGUCAGUGCCUCCAAAACGAAAUACAGUGUACCCUCCCCAGUUCCAGAAGGACAGGGAACUGCUGGAGAGGGGACAGCAGAGGACCACAAAGAUGAUGAGGGGCCUGGAGCAUCUCCCUUUCGAGGAAAGGCUGAGGGACUUGGGUCUUUUUAGUCUGGAGAAGAGAAGACUGAGGGGGGAUUUGAUCAACGCCUAUAAAUACUUAAAGGGUGGGUGUCAGGAGGAUGGGGCCAGUCUUCUGAGUUUCCUACACGUAUCGUAUCCAACUUUGUUUGAAAUCAGGUGUGAAUGUAUCCAAAGAGCAGUGUCAGCUUGUGAGUCUCAUGAAAGGGAGGUCUGAUUGAUGCUGAAGGCAGGGGAGAAGUGUCCAAAGACACGUGGCUAAGCCCAGAAGUGACUAAGAGGCCUGGUGAGCUCAGGGAGGGGUUGCCAGAAGCAGAGAGGCUGACCUCAACAGGGUCUGGAAACGACUUCAGACUGUACGUCAUUAUCUAUUUGAAGGCCUUCUAUUGCUAUGGCAACCCUGGAAUUGCAUGAGUAUCUCACCUAUGGCUACAGGGAAGGAUAGGGGGAUUAAAGUAGCUUGGCUCAAUAAUUAGGAAAGGAUACUUUUUUUUUUUCCUGUGGAAGUACAGCUUUUUACCUGCUUGAUCCUCUUCCUUGUACCAAGUUGAUGGUGCAAGUAAUAAUUUAUAUCAUUCUGCUUUUCAAGAAAGGUGAGUUUCCUCCUGCACCAGAAGCAGUUUUGAAAUUGGGCUUGGUUUAGACCGUUAACUCACCAGCAGUUAAUGUCUCUGUAGCGAUGCACAGAUGGUGAGGUUUUCCUGUUGUAGACCUCUCUGUACCCAUCAGCAGGUAGGCAGCCCGGGGGGUUGACAAAAACAUUCCAUUCUUCCAUGGAAUUUGGGUUCAUUACAGACAGGAAGUUUCUUAGAAAGUGGGUGUUGUGAUCAGCUGCUAACACCCCAAAGCAUUAGAUUUGAGGAUCUGAGCUUCCAGCCUGGAUUAACUAUUAGUCAUUCUUAAAAAAAGAAAUCAGAUUUUUAAGAAGUCUUUCACUCUGUCAUUAAAAUGACAUUUUGUUAAGUGUAAACCCACAAUUAUAAAAAAGAAAACAAAACCCAACAAAACCCAGGAGAAAAUAACACACCGUCCGUAAUGAUCGAUUCCUGACACUGGUUUAUUAACCCUGCAAACUGGGAAUGAGGGAAGAGACAGUUUCUCCCGUGGCAGCUGUAGGAUUUACCUGUUUUGCUGCAGCUUUUCUAGACUUG